GGUGGUAAUGCCGGAUGCUCCGACUCCUCGCAUGGGGUGUCGGGAAAGAUUUCAUCGGUAUGGGAUGGGGUCGCGUCCUAUCAGGUAGUCGGCGGGGUAACGGCCCACCGAGCCUACGACGGGUAGCCGGCCUGAGAGGGCGACCGGCCACAUUGGGACUGAGAUACGGCCCAGACUCCUACGGGAGGCAGCAGUGGGGAAUAUUGCACAAUGGGCGCAAGCCUGAUGCAGCGACGCCGCGUGCGGGAUGACGGCCUUCGGGUUGUAAACCGCUUUUGAUCGGGAGCAAGCCUUCGGGUGAGUGUACCUUUCGAAUAAGCACCGGCUAACUACGUGCCAGCAGCCGCGGUAAUACGUAGGGUGCAAGCGUUAUCCGGAAUUAUUGGGCGUAAAGGGCUCGUAGGCGGUUCGUCGCGUCCGGUGUGAAAGUCCAUCGCUUAACGGUGGAUCUGCGCCGGGUACGGGCGGGCUGGAGUGCGGUAGGGGAGACUGGAAUUCCCGGUGUAACGGUGGAAUGUGUAGAUAUCGGGAAAGAACACCA
rnacentral:rRNA from 1 species